ACCGGGGCUAGACAGCGCAGUCGAAAAGCCGGAACUCUGGGCCGGUCUGCCCCGUGUCUUUUUUCCCAGA
rnacentral:sRNA from 1 species